rnacentral:rRNA from 1 species
UAGGGAAUCUUCCGCAAUGGACGAAAGUCUGACGGAGCAACGCCGCGUGAGUGAUGAAGGUUUUCGGAUCGUAAAACUCUGUUAUUAGGGAAGAACAAAUGCGUAAGUAACUGUGCGCAUCUUGACGGUACCUAAUCAGAAAGCCACGGCUAACUACGUGCCCGCAGCCGCGGUAAUACGUAGGCGGCAAGCGUUAUCCGGAAUUAUUGGGCGUAAAGCGCGCGUAGGCGGUUUCUUAAGUCUGAUGUGAAAGCCCACGGCUCAACCGUGGAGGGUCAUUGGAAACUGGGAAACUUGAGUACAGAAGAGGAAAGUGGAAUUCCAUGUGUAGCGGUGAAAUGCGCAGAGAUAUGGAGGAACACCAGUGGCGAAGGCGACUUUCUGGUCUGUAACUGACGCUGAUGUGCGAAAGCGUGGGGAUCAAACA